GGGAUAAAUAAGUCUUAUGGUAUUCAAUUAAGACUUUUCAAUAAUCUAAACGAGUCUUGUGGUAUUCCAUUAAGACUAUUAUGAUUUUUUUAAAAGAGUGUCAAAAUCUUGUGGUAUUCAAUCAAGCCUUUAAACAAGUAACAAAAAGUCUUAUGGUAUUCAAAAACUUGUUAAUUUCGAAGGAUUUUUUCAAAUGCGAAAUUGUGUGAGACUUUUUAGUGAGAUGUAUCCCUAUCUCAAAUCCCACCCUAACCCAUGAGACUUUUUUUUUUUUUUUUUUUUCACGUGAGAUUGUUUUUUGUGCUCAUCCACUUCGCCUUCUCUCAAAGCCAACUUCAACACCCAAAGCUUCACCGCCACCAGCCAUCUCUGCAACUCUACCUGCAAACCCACUUCACCUUCUCUACUAUACAUGCAAACCCACUUCACCUUCUCUGCAUAUAGCCAUGAUUCAUGUUGUUUACUCAUAGGAGGUUUGGGAGAAUUUCAAGGGAAAUAAUUUUUCGUCUUUUCUUUCCUUUUUCCUUUUUUUCCUGGGAAAUAGUUUACAGUUUAGCCAAAUCAUAUUGUUACUCUAUACAUGUCAAAUUUCUUUAUGCAUUUUUUUUUUUUUGGGAGCUUUGAGAUUCAAUGAAACUAUCCAUUAGACGAACAAGACUAGAAAUUCACACACAAGAUGAUCAACAAGAAUACUUUUUUUUUUUUUUUGUUCUUGUUGCCUCGGUCAACAUGGAUAGAAGAGAAAAAGAAGGUGGUAGGGGAUAGAAGAGAAAAUACUACCACCGAAAAAAACAUAGGGCAGAAACUCCACUUGCAUAGAACCACAUGAUAUCUCAUAACAGUAACAGUUCAUAAGGUAACACAAGCAAGUUCCUUUUAUACUAUUUGACUGGAGUUACCAACUGUGCAGCAGGCCAGCGUUAAGAUCGUAAAACCAGCAGCCUCCCCUGUUCUGGGUUCACUAUAUUUGUCGGGCUAAAUAUUUAAAAAAGUUUCAAAUUUUGGUUUGGGCUAUGGCCCUCUUUUGUCAGACCCAUAUAUAAAUCCUGUAAUAUAAAUCUAUGUGGUCCUUUCAAAUUUUAUAAAAUCUUAUGAUAUAAUCUUUAAAAUCCAAAAGUUAAAAAUCUUGAAUAUACAAAAUUAUCAAUAAAAUCUUAUAAGUCAUUACAUUCUGAUUAAAUCCGCUGAAUUUUUUAAAAUAAUUUUUUAAAAUCUCAAGUGAAUACACAGGGCUGCCUUGUAGAUGAUUGGGACUGCUUUUGAGCUUCCGUUUUCUCCUGAGAGCCAGUUCGAGGCUUCGAGCUCUUUGGAACUGAAAAUCAAAAGGAAACGACUCGUAAGAAAAACGUUUCAAAACGGAAAUUUUCUCUUACUAGAAAAUUCGACAUAUCCUGCUGUUGUUAGAUUGUAAAUCUAAACCACUAACCAGUACAUAUAUAUAUAUAUAUAUAUAUGUGAUGCAAGCAUAUUAUAGGAUAAUUUAUAACAGCAUACCUUGUGCUGCAAAUAAAGGAGGGUCGCGUCACAUUGACUAACAACCCCUGAGAUUGAUGGUGAAGGAAGAGGCAUCUUUGGUAGAAGUAUAGCCAUGAGCUGCAGGAUCUCCACCCAUGUAAGUAAAGAGGAAAUCCUGCCUAUGACUCAUAUCUCCGUACUGGACAACGUGAGUUUUAAUUGUUCUUCUUCAAACCUGUAAUUAGUUAGUAAUGUUGUCUUGUUAGAUUUACAUGGUUAGGUAGAUGCUCAUGAGUUUUAAACAUCCAUACGAAAUUCAAAUUCACCGUCUCGCAUGAGAACAUCUUCUAAUCAAUCUAUACUCUAACAAAAAAAAUAAAAACUAAAAAUGAAAAAAUAAAAUGGUUACUAAACGACCCUUAAGUAUCGAUGGUUACAAAAGUGUUGAAUUGAUGAGUUAAAAUGGAAGCCGAAAUGUGUCCCUUGUGACACAUUGGAGUGGCUUGAGGUUAGUGAGUCACUUGUUUUCUCCCAUCCAUAAUAUUUGUUGUGAUUUGAAUAUUGAUAUAAUGCUGCAUCGAGCAUAUGGUGUGGUCUAGUCUACCAAACGUGGGCAAAAUUUGAGAGGCUUCUCUUUAUAGAGCAUACUCAUUUGGCUCAAAGACAAACUAACCUAAUUAGUUUUGUCUACAACUUUGGAUGUACUAACUAGGGUGUACAAAGAUCUAAUCCAAUCUAAUCUUCACAAAUUGACCGAUUCAAUUCAAUUCAAUUUUAAUUGGUUUUGAUGAUUUAAUGGAUUGGAUUGGAUCCCUAAUUUCUAAAACUGACAUAAUUGGAUUGUGGAUUUGCUUGUGAGAAUCCAAUCUAAUCUAGUUAGUUUCAUGUUUAUUUUGCUCAUGUAGGUAUUUGUAAUUAAAAAAGUUAUGAAAAACAAGUUGGUCCACUGCAUCCUCGCCUGGAAACAAUGGCUGUAGAAGACUUUGGAUUGUUUUGAUCAGUUAAAAAGUAAAUAUUCUUUAACCCAAGUUAACUUAGGCCAACAAUAAGCCAAAGCAGUCGAUAACCUGGGCCAGAAGAAGCUCAGCAAGGACACAACCAGCUGCCCAGACACCAAUGGGUGUUGAAUAUUCUUUGCACCAAAGAUUAGUUCGGGAGCCUGAUAGCCACGAGAACAUAUGUUUGAUUUACACUUGCAUUCAAUCAUGUCAUGAAGACAAACACACCAGAACUUUUUCACUUCCGAAAUCACAAAGCUUCACCUGGUGGUUGAGGGGAUCAACCUGCCAAGUAUUUAUAAAACCUCCUCCCAUCAAGCUCGGGCCAGAUUACCAGUAAUUGCCACAAGAGCAUUCACCAUUCCUAAAAUGAUGAAACCUCUUUGCAUCCCUCACAAUUAUGUCUCUUCCAACCACUCUUGACAUAAACUUAAUUGCAGUGUGGCAAUCCCCACAACUCCUAAGAUUCUUAAAAACUCUGAUUGUGGCUCCGAGAGGAAGCUUCAUGAGCCCAAAUGCAACUGCAAGCUUCUCACUGUGAGUAGACAAGGAAUACUCCUUAUGCUCAGACUCCAUAUCAUGCAACACAAACUUUGUGUCAGGGAGAUAUCCUAACUUCCUCAUUUCAAGUCCUAGUUGCUCAAGAUAUUUGUACACAGCUUGGACCUCAGGGUGCUCAGUAUCACCAACUAAGAAGACGUGGACCAUGUUUUCAACGUCAAUCCAACUACAACCAGGCUCUUUCUUAACCCCUCGAUCUCUCAUUAGUUUCCGCACCUUAGCCACAUCAUCCCAACGGCCUAUAGCGGCAUACAGGUUUGACAAAAGUAUGUAAGUUCCAUCAUGUUGUGGCACCAACUCAAAGAGUCGUUCUGCUGCUUGAAUUCCUAAAUCCAUAUUCCCAUGAGUCCGACAACCAGCAAGAAGAGCCUCCCAAAUUGGUCCACCUGGCUCAAAAGGCAUCGAUUCAAUCAAGCCCUUGGCUUCUGUGAACUCCCCACAUCGACACAACAGAUCAAUCAUGCGAGCAUAAUGGCCUUCAUCAGGGCUAAUACCAUAACAGACACGCAUUGAACUAAAAUAAUGGCGCCCUUCCUUGACUAAACCAGCAUGACUACAAGCUGAUAGAAUGAUGAGGAAAGUUAUUCUAUCUGGUAGUAUAUCUGCCUUCAACAUUUGUUCAAAAAGGUCUAUUGCUUGAACACCAUGUCCAUGUUGUGCCAGAGCUGCAAUCAUAGCAUUCCAAGACACUGAAUCAAUACAAGGCAUGGUAAGAAACACAGAGUUUGCAUCCUUGAAAACUCCGCAUCUUGCAUACAUUGUGAUGAGUGCAUUUGCAGCUGAAAGGCUUGAAUCAAAACCCAAGCUAAUUAGUUGAGCAUGGAGCUGGCGUCCAUGCUCCAAUGCUCCGAGCGCAGCACAAGAUGUAAUUGCUCCAGAAAAUGCAUAAUCACACGGCUCAAAACCUUCUGAUCGCAUUUGGUUGAAUAGCGUCAUCGCUUCUUCUCCUAAUCCAUUUUGAGCUAAACCAGAUAUCAUCACAGUCCAUGUCAGAAUGCUCCUCUCUGGCAUUUCCUUAAAAAAGGAUUUUGCUUCCUGGAUGCGCCCUGCACUAACAUACCCUGAAAGGAUUGCAUUCCAAGAAACAAGAUCUUUAACAGGCAUAUUAUUAAAAAUAUACCGUGCUUCAUCAAGUUUACCACAUUUGUAAUAUAGUGUAAGCAAUGUAUUGUUCACAGAUAAUGAAAAAUCCACAGUAGGCUUCGCUUCGGUUCUAAGUAUGUAAGCAUGCACCUGCUUCCCAAGCUGAAAUUGUCCAUUAUUAGCGCAAGUACUAAUAACACUAGUGUAUGUAAAUUCAUCCUGAUGAAUCCCCAGUAACCGCAUUUUCCUAAACAAAAGCAAUGCUUCUUGAAAAGAAUUGUGGUGAGCAUAACCCGAAAUCAUCGCAUUCCAUACAACUUCCAUCCUUUCAUCCAUCCCAUCUAGCAAUUCCCGAGCUGCAUGAAGGUCUUCAUUCCUUAUGUACCCAGUAAUCAUCGUUGUCCAUGAUAGUUCAUCUCUCUCAGGCAUCUCAUUAAACAAAUUCCUAGCUUCACCCAUCAAUGAUGAUGAUGAUACUAAUGGUGAAGAAGCACAUCUAACAUAAACAGAUAACAGCGCAUUCCACACCGAAGUGGCAAACCCUGUUCCUGACUUAACUACUGCACAAUGUAGUUGCUGGCACUGCUUUUCAGCAUCCACUAUCUGUGCCACACCACUUAGUACAGUCGUAUAUGUGAAAUCGUUAGGCCUAAAACCACCUUGCCUCAUCUCACAAAAUAGUCUAAUAGAGGCAUAGCCAUCAUUGUUACGAGAAUAGCCUGUGAUCAUCGCAUUGUAACAAACAGUGUCUCGCAUGCUCAAUGGAGUUUCAUUGAAUAUCUUCCGAGCCAGCGUUAGAUUCCCAAUGGCAGAGUACGCCGUAAUCAAGGUGGUUCUAGCAACAAUGUCUGGUUUGGGAAUUUGAUCGAACAGUUGGUGGGCAUAACUAAAAUUUGAAGAUUUACAGUAGACAUCAAUCAAGCGGUUAAGAAUAUGGUCACGUGGCUUGAACCCAGAAACUAUCAUGUGGGCAUGGGCCGUUCGAGCUAUAGAGUAUGAGACGGGGCUUUGAGGGCAGCACAGCUGCAGUUGGGCUAAGUAACGGUGAGCCACUGUAAAGAAGAUGAAGCGAGGCAGAGGGCAAAUGAUGGGAAAGCGGGCAAUAUUGAAAUGGGAUUCUCCUUUUUUUCUUUUUUUUUUUUGGGCACCCAAACAGAAUGGAUUCUCAGACGCAGGUAGGAAUUCCUACAUAUUUACCUUUAUUUGCCCCCAGAACAUUUUUUAUGUCUUUUUCUCUUUUUUGUCGUAAAUUGGUCCUUAAGAUCUUGAAGGCAUGCUUGAUAUGUUACGAAAAUAAUUAAGAGUAUUUACUUAUGCACUCAAGAUCUUAGGGUUAAUUUUCCCACCCCAAUAUCCUUGUAUUAAAAACAAAAACAAAAACAAAAGUGAAAAGGGAGAAGUAGUUUAGAGAAAAAAUAAGAGCUUAAAAACAAUUGAAGAGGUUGUUGUAGUCCAUCUCCUUCCAUCCAAAUGCACUUUGAAAAGUAGUCAAGGUGUUGGGGUGGACAACUUCACAACCAUUAAGACAUUUAGUUUUGAUUAAUAAAACAAAUAAAUCGGGCAUUUCAAGAAAACACUAAAAUAACAAUUAUUUAAUUAAAUAAUUAUAUGAUUUUUGAAUUGAAGUGAUUCUUUAUAGAGAUGAUAUUUAAGAGAAUAUCUAAAAAAUAAACGGUUUAGAUCAUUAUAAUACUCUACCUAUGUUCAAUCAAGAUAUCAUAUAAAUACAAUAUCUUAUGAUACAUAUAAUCUUAAUCUGAGUCAUAGUAAGUCAUUGUCAGCAAUGCAAGUCUCAAUGAGGUCACCAUGGUCAAUGUGGUUAAACCAUCUCCCAAAUCCGACCUUCACUUAAUGAUCCUGGUUUAAUAUAUAAUCAAAUCAAUGAGAUUCGAAGUAGGCUCAGAUACGUACAACUAAGACAUUGAUACAUUAAUUGACAGGACCCGAUUCAAAUUCUACUUUGGAAUCCGAGCCGAAUUCUGUGCGUGUCCGACACCUGGUGGUUGCCGGACACAAUUGACCAAACUGCCCUUCUAACAAAAAUUCUAUCAAAUUUAAGUACGACUUCCGCCGAAAAUUCGGCAGAAUCUCCCCUGUAAAUUGAACAUUUCCCAAAAAUUCCACCUAUAAAACAAGCAUAUAUGUUUAUAUAUAACCCAAUUGCCAGCAUGCAUUAGAUUAUAUUCAAGCAAUCAAGCAUCAUAUCAUUCUGGCCUCAGGCCUCAACAAAUUGAAAUAAAUCACUACGUUAAUAAAACUCAUCUCAACUUCCAGACAUCAAUUGUACAUUAGAAAUCUCAAACACUCCAACUCGUGGCUGCACCUUGUAACAUUAAGCUACCUACGUACCCUUACUAAGGGAUCAAGCCACACGUAGUUCUUUCCAAUACUCGUAUCAUCAUACCCACGAUCGCACGAUCGGAUAAUUACUGUAAACCUAGCCCUAUGGUUGUCAUUUCCAGAGUAUCCGGGACUCCGUUUUACAGUUCGUCGAAUCCUCUACGAUCCUGGAAUUACCUAAAUCAACAUAUACGAAAUUGACUAUGAUCCAACGGUUCAAAGGUAUCGAACCUGAAAAUCGGACAGUGGGCGAGAACCGUUCGGGGUUCAAACGUUGUCUGAAUUGAAAUCCGAAAGUACCUACAUGCUCGUGAGGACCAGGAGAUCAUUCUGAAACCCUAAAUUGGUCCAAAGCCUGGCCCACGCGUCGGCAGCGCUUGGGUGUCCCAAGCGAUACCGGCGGACGGAAAAUCUCAAAACCAAUGGCCACCCUUCCAGCUAUAGCUACUACUCGACGUGUGGAACACAUUAUUCAACUGCGGAAACGUCCAAUUCGGACGGCAAGUGGUCGGAAAUUCACUUGGAAAACCUGCCAAAACCUAAUUUACACAUCAAGUUAUCUAGGCUAGAAAUUGAUCAAAUCCUACCCAACCAUCAACUAGAGCUCGAGACGUAGAUGAGAAACCAUACCUCACUGGCCGGAGAUGGUGGCCGGAAACGGCCGAAAAAGACCAAGAAAGGCAGCUGAUUUUCGCACAGCAGUUCGGGCUCGUUUUUGGCUCAACUUUGGCUCGAUUUUCAAGUGGAUUCACUUGGAAUCAAGGCUGGAUAUGGAUAUUUAUGGAAAGAGGAGAGAGAGACGAAGAAAUUGCAAGUUGUGGCACUCGAUUUGGUGACUGGACGGAGGAGAAAUCGAAGUUUGAAAAUGGCUGGUCGUCCCCCACCCCCCCCAAAAUCGCGAAACAGCAGAAUCUGGGUUUAGAAAAAUCUGAACUUCGAAAUAUUUACGAUUGUGCCACUGAACUUCUUUUGACCGUAACUUUUUCGUUACAACUCCGAUUUGAGCCCACUAUGUGUCUACGGACUCAUCUCGACGUGCUCUACGCAACAGUAUAACUGAAAUUUCCAAAUUCAUUCCUGGUCAAAAGGUCAACUUUUUCUCUAAUAAAAUAUUCUAGGGGUAUAAUUGUCUUAUCCUAGAAUAAAUUAAUAAUUAAAAUUUAAUUAAGGAUCAGGUUGUUACAUUAAUGGGAUCCAAAAUUUGAAGGGCUUUGAUGAUGGCAUUACUAUUAAAAUUUACACCAAGCAGUAAUUUUAUGUUACUGCCAACCCCAUAAAUACCAACUUCAAAUACUGAGCAAGAAUGUUCUAUUAAAUUAUGAAGCUCAAACCUCCGCCCCAUUAAACAGCAGAGAUUUGAAAUUAUCCAGAAGAAGGCAGUAUUGAAGAAAUUAGAAAAAAUACAUAAAUCAACAAUAGCAAAAUAUAAUUCGAGACAAGACAGCGACAAACAGCAGAAACAACACCAUAAUUAAAAGAUAAACGACAAGCCGCACUACUAUUAUGCCCCUCGGGGCACCGGACUUUUACAGCCCCUACCCUAGCUAGAUUUGAAUAAACUUAUACAUAUGGUGUGGUCUAGUCUACCAAACGUGGGCAAAAUUUGAGAGGCUUCUCUUUAUAGAGAACAUAAUCAUUUUGGCUCAAAGACUAGCUAACCUAAUUAGUUUUGUCUACAACUUGGGAUGUACUAACUAGGGUGUACAAGAUCUAAUCCAAAUUAAACUUCACAAAUUGGCCGAUUCAAUUCAAUUCAAUUUUAAUUGGUUUUGAUGAUUUAAAGGAUGGGAUUGGAUCCCUAAUUUCUAAAACUGAUAUAAUUGGAUGGUGGAUUUGCUUGUGAUAAUCCAAUCUAAUCUAGUUAGUUUUAUGUUUAUUUUGUUCAUGUAGGUAUUUGUAAUUAAAAAAGUUAUGAACAUUUUAAGUCAUUUGAUGGAGUUAUGCUUUAAUAUAUUAUAGAAUCAAAACAAUUUUCUCUAACUUUUCAUUUAUAUUUUACAUUUACGUCUACUAAUAUAUUUGAUUAUAUUAAAUCUAACAAAAAAAUGUUUCAUAUUUCAUUAUUAUAUUUUUUUCAUUAUAAAAACCGAUCAUCCAAUCUAAUUCGAUUGGAUUUGAUUGGAAAAAUCACAAUCCAAUCUAUAUUAGGUUGGAUGCAGAUUGGCUAAGUUGUAUGGGUUUCGAACCAACGUACACCCCUAGUACUAUCCUUAAGAUGUCUCUCCAAGCAUAGUAGACUUUCUUUUGUGGACUUCAUUCGUGAGUACCUUGGAAUAUUGUGGCGUGGCCUAGAUUUGCCUUAGUAAACUUUAUUUGUGCUUACCCUUCGAGUUAUAUUGGGGUAUAAAAAAAUAAACUCCAAACUUACUAAUGAUAUGAUAAAUCAUUUCUUGGUAUUCUUUAAUUUUUUUGUUUUUUUGUUUUUAAAAAUAAGAAAGAUAAAAAAAAGUCUAUUUGUGUUCCAUAAAAAUAGGACCUUGUUUUGCUUUUAUUUUUUAUGUUAAUUUUUUAUGAAAAAGUAUGCAUUAUCCUUAUUUAAUCAAUACUUUCAAUUCUUACUAUUUUGAUUAACUAAGGGAAUAAUUUUUGGUCAAGGGACUUCUAACUUAAGUGGUUAAAAACAUUUACUCCUGUACUCGAGCUCCAAGGUUUAAUUCCCCACCCCCAUCCAAAUAUCGCUUGCAUAAAAAAUAAAAAUAAAGGACUUUUAUUUUUUGUAUUUCGAAUGUUUUACCAUUUUAUGCAUGCAUGUUCAAUUCCCCCCACCCGUAAUUUCCCAAUAUCGCUUGUAUAAAAAAAAAUAAUAACUUUUUUGUUGUUGUUGGUAUUUUGAAUGUGGCAAACCAUUUCUUAACUAGCCAGGAGACAUCAAAUAAUUUUAGUCAAAUAUUGGUUCCCUCUUCCUCUAAAUAAUUCAAUCUCAUUAAAAUAAAAAUAAAAGUAUUCAAAUGUCCAAACUAAAAAGAGUUAACACUAACACUUUUUGAGAUUUAUUUACAAAUUUAUGGGAUUUCACCGACACUCUCUGAGGUUUCAAAUUGAUUUUUUCUUCUUUCCUUUUUCUGGGUAUUAUGGAGACCCCAAAAAGUCUAAAAGAACAGAUAAAAGGGCAUAUCCACCAAAGCUAAUUCAAAUUUUGGUUAAAUUUGAUUUCAAGUGACACAAAAAAUAUUUAUUAGUUGGGUCACUAUAAUUGAAUGCGACUCUAUCAAUAUUUUUUAGUUGAGUUAUUUAUAAAAUUCUUUGAGAUUUCAGAAAUUAUACUAACAACUCUUAAUGUUUCAAAAUAAUUUCACAAAACCGAUUUCAUUAGUUUUCCACUUAAAAAAUUGUUGAUAUAAAAAUAAAAAAAUUUCUCCAAGUGUGUCAGUGUUCUUUUGGGACCUUUUGCAAAUGAUCCACUAGUUUAGUGGUUUGGAGUAAUUGCUUAUCCAUAAAAGAUUUUGAGUUUGAAUUCUAGUAUUCGUGUAGUGUGUUUAAGUUUAGUAUACUAUUGCUCAUUUUAAUAAAAAAAAAAGGUCACAAAUUUAAAUAAAAACAAAGUAAAAAAAGGAUACUUAUUAGUGAGUGGGCUGCGAAGUGACGUGUGCUCAUUAAUGACUAUUAACAACAGAAGCAGACAAAAUAGAAAACAGAUAUAAUCCACAAAUUAAUCAAAUAAUUGUAGUAAAAAAGAGAGAGGGGAGAGAGAGAGAGAGAGAGUGACAAUACAAUUUACAAAGAAAGGAGGAGAUGCCAAAAGCAAGCGUCAGCACCUAUAAAGCGUAAUUUAUUAAUUAUUAAUAAUAUUCUAGAAAAAGCGUCACGCACUUCAAGGUCGUUGCAACCAACAAAACAACGAAAAACCCAAAUCAUAAUCACUAUAUAUAUAUAUAUAUAUAUAUACACUUGGCUUCCUUCUCUCUCAAUCUUACCAUUUUAGUUUUAGAAACCAAAUAGCUUCCUUGUUGCUUGGUCUACCGAAUUCCAAUGGCGCUUUCCAGAAAACUUUUUCAGCACCGGAGCUCCGUAUCCUUCUUCGGAGCCCGAUCCAUGUCGUGGUGGAGGAGCGUGGAGCCAGCUCCAAAGGAUCCGAUUCUCGGCGUCACAGAGGCCUUCCUCGCCGAUCCAAGUCCCGACAAAAUCAAUGUUGGAGUUGUGAGUAUCUGCUCUGCCUUUGAUCUAACAUUACCUUCUGAAUCAUGAGCUUUAAGCUUUUGAAAAUAUUGUAUUCUUUUGGAUCAUCAUUUCUGUUUUAUUUUCCUUCUUCAUCCACCCGACGAGUUAGCUACACAGUAUGGAGUGGAAGUGUUCAGUUUUAUUUUAAUUAUGUUUUUCUUCUCUCUUCUUGUCCUGGAAAUUGAGUAAUUUUUUGGUAUGAAACCGGACCUGGAAAUGAAUAAAACAGUAACUUUCUCGGAAGCCAAACAGCAACCAAAUCAAGGGGAAAAGGAAAAGCUGAGAAUAAUUUUCUUUUUCUUUUUUUAAAAUUUUAAAAUGUCUCAUUUCUGUUUUUUUUAUAAAUAUUUGGUGCUUCGUUGGCGAGCUUUUGUUGGCUUCCAAAGGACAAAAAUGUUCUAAUUGAAUGUUUUUGUAGUAAUUUUUAUUCUGACGCAUUUUUUGUAGUACUUUAACAAUAGCUAAACAGUUAUGAAUAUGUGCUUGAUUUUUUUUUUUUAAUACAUAUUUAUUUUCGAAUUUAUGGAUUAAAGGGUGCGUACCGAGAUGAUAAGGGCAAGCCAGUUGUUCUCGAAUGCGUCAGAGAAGCAGAGCGGAGAAUUGCGGGAAACUUGAACAUGUAAGUGGGUAUAUUUUCUGAAGUUUAGAACCACUUUUGUUAUUAAUUGAUUGAUUGCUUUCCUUAUAUGCAUCAUCUCAUUUUAGAUUUUGCAUUUUUGUAAUGGGAGCUGUGACAUGUGGCUUUUUUUUCUUUUUUUGUUUUUGUCUUGGAGAAUGCUAAUAGUGUUUUACAACUUGCUACUUUUGCAGUGGUCCCUUUAAGUUAGCUUUUAUAUUGCCCAAUGCCCACUACGGCCACAAACAUAUCCUUGGUUCUUUUGUCACACCUACUCUGGAGUCAUGAUACUGCUCGUACGCUUGAGAAUAUUUUUCUUUUUCGCUAUUUGCAUUUGGAUAUAGAUUCUUAACUUUAUUCUGUCUUGAUCGUUCGAGUAGAUUUAUUUAUUUUUGGGGAGUGGUGGGGCUUUUAUAGUUUUGGGUAUUUGAUAUAGUGGAAAUUGGGCUAGCAAUUGGCAACUUUAGAACCAUAUUGUACUCUCCACGCUGGGACUUAUUGUCUUGAUAGCCAGGUCGUGGUGAAGGGUAAUCUUUAUCUGUUGUUGUAACCGUGACUCUGCAAUUUGAGUUUCCUAAUGUUGAGUUUGAUGCUUUAUAAUUGGAAUUGGAUUGAGUUUGUAGGAUGUUAGGAUUAUGUUAGCAGCAGUGAAGGUUUAUGUAUUCAUUUUCAGUUGUGAGAGAUGAAGGAAGAAUGAGUAGAUAGAUUCCUUCAAUCUCUCUUGUUCAUAGACACUAUAAACUACAACUCUUCUUAUACUUCAAAAAAACCCAUGCUAGAUAAGUUAAUGCGGAAAAUUUUGUGCAAACCGGCUACUAAGGACUGGAAUAUUGCAUAUGCAUCUUUACAAUUAGAACUAAAAACCAAACCUUCCACUGUAUCAUGUAAGUUCCCUUAGUUUCUUAAUUUUUUCGUAGCACUAAUGUAUAUAAUUUACAAUUGGUUUGUUCUUGCCAGGGAGUAUCUUCCUAUGGGAGGAAGUGUGAACAUGGUUGAAGAAACAUUGAAGCUGGCCUAUGGGGAGAAUUCUGAGCUCAUUAAAGAUAAAAGGAUAGCAGCAGUGCAAGCUCUCUCGGGGACAGGUGCAUGCCGUCUUUUUGCAGAUUUUCAAAAGCGUUUUUGUCCAGAUUCUCAAAUCUAUAUACCAGUGCCUACAUGGGCCAAGUGAGCAUUGCUUAGAACUUUUGAUUCUUAAGAAUCUCUCUCUCUCUCUCUCUCUCUCUCUCUCUCUCUCUCUCUCUCUCUCUCUCUCCACAUUUAAACGGCCAAUGUGAACAAUUUCUGAUGCAAAUGGUCUUCCAAAAUAAAAUUUCAACAGCCAUCAUAACAUCUGGAGAGAUGCUCAUGUCCCUCAAAAGACUUUCCAUUACUAUCACCCACAGUCUAAGGGGUUGGACUUUGCAGGACUGGUUGACGACAUAAAGGUAUAGGACUCAUUCUUACUUUCAAUUUGAUUGUUUUAAUUAUUUCAGCUACGUUCUUGUUUUAAAACAAUUAAUCUACCACAUUAAGCUUUCCUUGUAGAUAUAAUUUGUUUUUACUCUUUGCCCUCUACAUUCUCUUCACUGACGCCCUGUUCCUUCCCCUGCAAACUGGGCAUCAAUGUUUUGUAUAGAAUGCUCCAAAUGGCUCGUUCUUUCUACUUCAUGCGUGUGCUCACAAUCCUACUGGAGUGGAUCCCUCAGAGGAACAAUGGAAAGAGAUCUCAAAAAAGAUUAAGGUAAAUUUCGCAGAAUAUUUUCCUUAUGUUUUUUCUUCUUUUACCCCUAAUACCUUUCUUUACUCUUGGGUUGAUUUGGAUUUUGUGAUUGGUUCAGGAAAAGGGCCAUUUUCCUUUCUUUGACAUGGCAUAUCAAGGUUUUGCUAGUGGUGACCCGGAGAGAGAUGCGAAAGCCAUCAGGAUUUUUCUUGAGGAUGGCCAUCUACUUGGAAUUGCCCAAUCAUAUGCCAAAAAUAUGGGACUUUAUGGCCAGAGAGUAGGAUGUCUUAGGUAAUUGUGUGUUGUUAAAUACGGUUUCAAUUUAAUUUGGCACUUUUAAUACUUCUGUUUAGUAUUUCAGUCUUAAUGAAAGUAGCAACUGCAUGCUUCUUCUUGUUCUGUCUGUCAUCUCUAUAACCCUGGCUAAACAUUAACUACAUGUUCAAUUGGCAAUUCUGUAAAAAAUGACAUAAACGUAGGACAUUAUAGUAGUGUAUACAACCUGUACAUUUGAUGCGUAAAUGAUUAUACGCAUUUUAUGUUAUCACCAAUUGAAAUAUGAAACUAUAUGAUUUAUUCUCAUGUAUCACUUUGCUCAAUGCCAAACUGGUUUUAUCAAGAUCGCUGUACUGCAUGCUUUAUAAGUGUUUGAAUACUCUUGUCUGGGCUUCAGCCUUCACCUGUUCAUGCCUUUAACAUUGUUAUCUACAUAUGAAGGGGACAUAUGUUAUAUAUGAUAGGUGAGCAUUCUGCAUCUCUCAGGUACUGUAAGCUGCACUCAUGGUGAAUAUGACUUUUUAUUUUUCCUCCUUUAAAUGGUUGCGCCUAGUCUCAUCUCAUACCUUACUCCCUACUGGUCUUUAGGAAAAUUUUGUAACAUAGGGCUUAUAUGUCAACUCCACUUAUAAAGUAGACUAAGAAAGCGGAGGGUCUUUUGGUACAUCUUUUAUGCUGAUGUUGCUCUCUAUGUUUGCAGCGUGCUUUGUGAGGAUGAAAAACAGGCAGUGGCUGUAAAAAGCCAGUUGCAGAUGCUUGCCAGACCCAUGUAUAGUAAUCCACCUGUUCAUGGAGCGCUUAUAGUUUCAACGAUCCUUGGUGAUCCAGGCUUGAAGAAGUUAUGGCUCAAGGAAGUUAAGGUAAUUCAUCAUUCCUUUGCUUCUUUCUUUAGUUAAUCUUUUAAAUCUCAUUUUGAGCUGGAUAGAUAUCCUUUCUCUUUACCAUAAAUACAAAGGCCUGACUUUUGUUUAAUAUUAAUUAUUUUUGGAAGGAGUUGUAUCUUUGUUUCGUGAUCAUCUGAUGUUUAUGUCCUUCGUCAUUCUUCUCUCCAGGGCAUGGCAGAUCGCAUCAUUGGAAUGCGAACUGCUCUACGAGAGAACCUUGAGAAACUUGGGUCCCCCUUAUCAUGGGAGCACAUAACUAAUCAGGUUUGUUAGAUUCUUUCUAGUCCAUCAUCUAUGAGGCACAGACAGGAGGCUUGGACACAUGUCCACAUAAUAAAUGGUUCCUCGAGGAAAAAUUAUAUUCCUCAAAAUAAGAUUUUCUUUCUUAAUGGAGAAAAGGACUUGGAAGUGUGCGAAAUUGCCACUAUUUGAACCUAAAUGAUUUCGUAAUAGCAAUGUUCAACUUCCAUAUUAUAAAAAUAUUGUUUACUGUUAUGUCCAAGCCCUAAAUUCUUGGUAUUUUCUUUGUUUGAUAAUGAUCGAGAAGGUUAAACAAAACAAUACAAACAAUUUAGGGCCCUGGACAUAACAGUCUUUUGGGGUAUUUCAUGUGUCAAUGUUCAUGUGUUUUUUACCUAGGGAUCCUUGUCUGUGCUACGUAGUCUGUUAAUUUGUAUUGCUUGGCCGCGUUUGAUCUCCACCUUGUUUUCUAGUCUAUGUUAUUUAAAAAUCUUGUUGAUUCUUGCAAACAGAUUGGUAUGUUUUGCUAUAGUGGAAUGACACCUGAACAGGUUGAUCGCUUGACAAAUGAAUUUCAUAUCUAUAUGACUCGCAAUGGUCGAAUAAGGUUCUCUCUCUCUCUCUCUCUCUCUCUCACACACACACACACACAAACAAUCAUAUGCGUGCUGCAGUCUCUAGUUCGAUAUGUCUCACGUAUGGUAUUUAUAUGCACAGUAUGGCGGGUGUUACAACCGGUAAUGUUGGAUAUUUGGCAAAUGCUAUACAUGAAGUCACAAAAUCAGCAUAGAGAUCCAGUCAUAGGUCACUUACUCCUCGACAGGAUAUACGAACUUUAGCAGAUACUGAUUUUCUUAUCUUCUUCAUCUCCUUAUGAUAGAGAUAAGGAAGGAGCAAUAAACUACAACCACCAUUGAUGCGCUCUUCUCAGUUCCUUCCUCCAUUUUUUUAUUGUACCGGAGGGGAGUUUUUAUCUGGGUUACAUAUUAAGUCCUCUAAUUCAAGAAGCACAAAAUAAAGAGCGACAUUUUAUCGAUAUCAUUUGUAGUCUGAUUCCUGGAUUUUGCCUUCACCAAUAAAUUAGGUCUGAAGCAUUUUGUUGCAUCAAAAUAUCAUAAGGAAUAAAGAUUUAUAAGCUAUUUGCGUGCUUUUGUCAGCAAAUUGACAAAUUAAUAUAUGAAUGGUGGCUAAUCAUUUCUCCAAUACAAGUUAAUUAAUUUCCACCAAGCAGCUGUGUUACUACCAAUUGCACAGAUACCACCUCCAAACACUAGGCAAGAAUAUUGUAUUGCAUGAUGCUCAAGCUCAAGCUCUAGCUCUGCGCUGUCAAACAUACUUCGAGGCAGGACCACAACGAACACUAGAUUUGAAUGCAUUAUGCACUUGGUUUCCCUUAAUCCUUGCAAUCAAAACGAUGCACAGAUGCAGGAAGACGGUAAUUUUCCGCUAAACUGGUAUAGUAGACAGGAUCAACCAUUUCCAGGUUAAGCCAGAGAGCAGCAGAUUAGGCUAAAAUGCUGAGUGUGUUAUAUAAGACCACAAAGAGGCCCUCGUGUGCUUCACAUCCAUCCACUAGUACAAGAAAUAAUUCCUUGUUUCAUGACUUUACAUUCAAGUACGAACUGGGUGUGGGAAUCCAAGACCAGUCUGCUGCCGCAUAUGCUCCUGUAUGAGCCUCUUGAUCAGUUCCGGUGAAGCUCCAUUUAACGGCAAAUCAAUUUUGGAGGCAGAGUUGGGGGAAUAAGUAAAUUGAAACUUUUAGUAGAAUAUGUGAUUGCCAAGAAAAAACAACUGAAAAUUUUCAUCUUAGAUGCCCCUACUGUACUCUUUCCAGGUUAUGCAACCAUACCAAACCUAGGUAAAUUUGAAGAAAUUUCAUAUAACUCGAGAUUUAUUUAACAAUACACGUACGUAAAAGGGCAUGUCCUCUAUCACGUUAUUACCCGCAAGCACUUAAGUUUAAGUGGCAAAAAGCUCAGCAUAUCUGAAUCAGUAGAGUUCUGUGUUGGUCAGCUUUAAGGCGCUAAGAUUGAUCACAGGCACCUCUAUAGUCCAUAAAAGAAGCAAGGAAAAAUGCAUAUAGGGGCAUGAACAAGCAACAAAUAUAGAUACUUAACACGUGACGUACUUUGAUGUUUUGUCAUGUGAAUGAUUAACAGAUAAAAAAAAAAAAAUUAAAUCUGAAACUCACUUCUUGUUUGAAGUAGAAAACUGGUGACAACAGGCGCCUAUUUGGAAGGAGAACAUUGGGCUCACGAAGUUGAUCAAUGAAAGAAUGUGUGCAUGCUUCUAGCUGUAAUGGGGCGAUCAGUGAGAAUUUGGAUAUUAUGCAUGUCAUGAAGUGGAAGUAUCAAACUCAAGCAGCUCAGCACCAAAAUGAAACUUGCCAAAUAGAGCCAACUCAUCUAAAAUCUUUAUGACAAGGCAUAAUUGCUUGGGUUUUAUCUCGAAACAACAGAAGAGCUCCGUGGGAAGAAAAGUCCAACUCACUGCGGUGCAGAGUUGGAGCAUUGUCUGCUUCAGGUGGCAAACCUGAAUUAAGGAGCAUUAUUGCAGAUAAACUAUAGGAAUACUGGCAAAAACAAAAUAAUCCCACAGAUACCACUAAGUGUUUUAAUAGUUAAUAAUUUUAUAGUUACAGGUAUGGACAUGGACAAGAACAGUACGUGUUCAGGACAUAAAAGGAAAAGGAAAAAACCACCCAAAUUUGUACACAUAAGGUUUCCUUGCACACAGAACAAAGACACAUAUGUAAGUAUGCGCGUGUACAUGUGCCCAUGUGCGAAUAUAAAGUCUGCCCUCUAUAACUAUAAGCAGCCCUGAGAACCAACUUAUUUGAAGGGUUAUAAUCAAAAUGCAUACCUUAUGCCAAGGACGAGCUUUAAUAUGAAGGAACCUAAAAUCUGUACGAUUUGGAAUCCAUGCAUCAAAUUUAUAGUCUAGUUGCAGUGCAAAGAACCUGCAAGAAGACACCUAAACUGUAUGCUUACACAAUUACAUGAUCCACUUAGUUCAGCAGCGAUAGUGAGGCUUGACCUUGAUAAUCUCUACAAGUUGGUCCACUGCAUCCUCUCCUGGAAACAAUGGCUGUAGAAGACUUUGAAUUGUUUUGAUCAGUUAAGAAGUAAAUAUUGUUUAACCCAAGCUAACUUAGGCCAACAAGAAGCCAAGCAGUCCAUAACCUGUCCCAGAAGAAGCUCAGCAAGGACACAACCAGCUGCCCAGAUAUUAAUGGGUGUUGAAUAUUCUUUGCACCAAAGAUUAGUUCAGGAGCCUGAUAGCGACGAGAACAUAUGUUUGAAAUUUUUGCUUCUCUCUCGAACCUGAUUAGCAAGAAAAUCACUGAAAUGAAAUCAUACAAGGAAACUGAUUUUCUUAGGAAAAUAGCAACUGUAUUAGCAUGAAGCCUUUAAAAAGAAAGGUGGUUGACGUAUAGACAGACAUUAACUCAAACAAGUACUAAUAUCUUGAGUUGAAGCCAUGCAUUAAUUUUCACCAAAUGGACAGGUGAUUGACUAUCGGUUUAUCAACAAGAAAAAAUUAUCCAUCAUAAAAGCAACUGGUCAUUCUGCCUCUAAGUUCUAAAACGUAGUGUCGUGACAUGAUUGAAUGCAAGUGUAAAAUGUCAUGAAGACAAACACACCAGAACUUUUUCACUUCCGAAAUCACAAAGCUUCACCUGGUGGUUAGGGGGAUCAACCCGCCAAGUAUUUAUAAAACCUCCUCCCAUCAAGCUCGGGCCAGAUUACCAGUAAUUGCCACAAGAGCAUUCACCAUUCCUAAAAUGAUGAAACCUCUUUGCAUCCCUCACAAUUAUGUCUCUUCCAACCACUCUUGACAUAAACUUAAUUGCAGUAUGGCAAUCCCCACAAAUCCUAAGAUUCUUAAAAACUCUGAUUGUGGCUCCAAGAGGAAGCUUCAUGAGCCCAAAUGCAACUGCAAGCUUCUCACUGUGAGUGGACAAGGAAUACUCCUUAUGCUCAGACUCCAUAUCAUGCAACACAAACUUUGUGUCAGGGAGAUAUCCUAACUUCCUCAUUUCAAGUCCUAGUUGCUCAAGAUAUUUGUACACGGCUUGGACCUCAGGGUGCACAGUAUCACCAACUAAGAAGACGUGGACCAUGUUUUCAACGUCAAUCCAACUACAACCAGGCUCUUUCUUAACCCCUCGAUCUCUCAUUAGUUGCCGCACCUUAGCCACAUCAUCCCAACGGCCUAUAGCGGCAUACAGGUUUGACAAAAGUAUGUAAGUUCCAUCGUGUUGUGGCACCAACUCAAAGAGUCGUUCUGCUGCUUGAAUUCCUAAAUCCAUAUUCCCAUGAGUCCGACAACCAGCAAGAAGAGCCUCCCAAAUCGGUGCACCUGGCUCAAAAGGCAUUGAUUCAAUCAAGCCCUUGGCUUCUGUGAACUCCCCACAUCGACACAACAGAUCAAUCAUGCGAGCAUAAUGGCCUUCAUCAGGGCUAAUACCAUAAGAGACACGCAUUGAACUAAAAUAAUGGCGCCCUUCCUUGACUAAACCAGCAUGACUACAAGCUGAUAGAAUGAUGAGGAAAGUUAUUCUAUCUGGUAGUAUAUCUGCCUUCAACAUUUUUUCAAAAAGGUCUAUUGCUUGAACACCAUGUCCAUGUUGGGCCAGAGCUGCAAUCAUAGCAUUCCAAGACACUGAAUCAAUAUAAGGCAUGGUAAGAAACACAGAGUUCGCAUCCUCGAAAACUCCGCAUCUUGCAUACAUUGUGAUAAGUGCAUUUGCAGCUGAAAGGCUUGAAUCAAACCCCAAGCUAAUUAGUUGAGCAUGGAGCUGGCGUCCAUGCUCCAAUGCUCCAAGCGCAGCACAAGAUGUAAUUGCUCCAGAAAAUGCAUAAUCACACGGUUCAAAACCUUCUGAUCGCAUUUGGUUGAAUAGCUUCAUCGCUUCUUCUCCUAAUCCAUUUUGAGCUAAACCAGAUAUCAUCACAGUCCAUGUCAGAAUGCUCCUCUCUGGCAUUUCCUUAAAAAAGGAUUUUGCUUCCUGGAUGCGCCCUGCACUAACAUACCCUGAAAGGAUUGCAUUCCAAGAAACAAGAUCUUUAACAGGCAUAUUAUUAAAAAUAUACCGUGCUUCAUCAAGUUUACCACAUUUGUAAUAUAGUGUAAGCAAUGUAUUGUUCACAGAUAAUGAAAAAUCCACAGUAGGCUUCGCUUCAGUUCUAAGUAUGUAAGCAUGCACCUGCUUCCCAAGCUGAAAUAGUCCAUUAUUAGCGCAAGUACUAAUAACACUAGUGUAAGUAAAUUCAUCCUGAUGAAUCCCCAGUAACCGCAUUUUCCUAAACAAUAGCAAUGCUUCUUGAAAAGAAUUGUGGUGAGCAUAACCCGAAAUCAUCGCAUUCCAUACAACUUCCAUCCUUUCAUCCAUUCCAUCUAGCAAUUCCCGAGCUGCAUGAAGGUCUUCAUUCCUUAUGUACCCAGUAAUCAUCGUUGUCCAUGAUAGUUCAUCUCUCUCAGGCAUCUCAUUAAACAAAUUCCUAGCUUCACCCAUCAAUGAUGAUGAUGAUACUAAUGGUGAAGAAGCACAUCUAACAUAAACAGAUAACAGCGCAUUCCAUACCGAAGUGGCAAACCCUGUUCCUGACUUAACUACUGCACAAUGUAGUUGCUGGCACUGCUUUUCAACAUCCACUAUCUGUGCCGCACCACUUAGUACAGUCGUAUAUGUGAAAUCGUCAGGCCUAAAACCACCUUGCCUCAUCUCACAAAAUAGUCUAAUAGAGGCAUAGCCAUCAUUGUUACGAGAAUAGCCUGUGAUCAUCGCAUUGUAACAAACAGUGUCUCGCAUGCUCAAUGGAGUUUCAUUGAAUAUCUUCCGAGCCAGCGUUAGAUUCCCAAUGGCAGAGUACGCCGUAAUCAAGGUGGUUCUAGCAACAAUGUCUGGUUUUGGAAUUUGAUCGAACAGUUGGUGGGCAUAACUAAAAUUUGAAGAUUUACAGUAGACAUCAAUCAAGCGGUUAAGAAUAUGGCCACGUGGCUUGAACCCAGAAGCUAUCAUGUGGGCAUGGGUCGUUCGAGCUAUAGAGUAUGAGACGGGGCUUUGAGGGCAGCAUAGCUGCAGUUGGGCUGCGUAACGGUGAGCCACUGUAAAGAAGAUGAAGAGAUUGAAAGCGAGGCAGAGGGCAAAAGAUGGGAAAGCGGGCAAAAUUGAAAUGGGAUUCUCCUUUUUUUUUUUUUUGGGCACACAAACAGAAAGGAUUCUCGGACGUAGGAAGGAAUUCCUAUAUAUUUACCUUUAUUUGCCCCCAAAAACAUUUUUUUAUGUCUUAUUUCUUUUUUGUCGUAAGUUGGUCCUUAAGAUUUUGAAGGCAUGCUGGAUGGGGACAAAUAGUGUGAUGUUGCGAAAGUGAUUAAGAGCAUUCACCUAUGCACUCAAGAUAUUAUGUUCGAUUUUCCCACCCCAAUAUCACUUGUAUGAAAAACAAAAGUAAAAAAGGAGUAGUUUAGAGAAAAAAUAAGAGCUCAAAAAUAAUUCAAGAGGUUGUUGUAGUCCAUCUCCUUUCAUCCAAAUGCACUUGAAAAGUAGUCAAAGUGUUGGGGUGGACAACUUCAAAACCAUUAAGACAUUUAAUUUUGAUUAACAAACUAAAUAAACUGGGCAUUUCAACAAAAUAGACAAUUAUUUAAUUGAAUAGUUAUAUAAUUUUUGAAUUCAAGGGAUUCUUUGUAGAGAUGAUAUUUGAGAGAAUACUAAAAAAUAAAUGAUUUAGAUCAUUAUAAUACAAUAUCUUAUGAAACAUAUAAUCUUAAUCUGAGUGGUGGUAAGUCAUUGUCAGCAAUGCAAGUCUCAAUGAGGUCACCAUGGUCAAUGUGGUUAAACCAUCUCCCAAAUCCGACCUUCACUUAAUGACCCUGGUUUAAUAUAUAAUCAAAUCAAUGAGAUUCGAAGUAGGCUCAGAUACGUACAACUAAGACAUUGCUACAUUAAUGGGAUGCAAAAUUUGAAGGGCUUUGAUGAUGGCAUUACUAUUAAAAUUUACACCAAGCAGUAAUUUUCCGUUACUGCCAACCCCAUAGAUACCAACUUCAAACACACUGAGCAAGAAUGUUCUAUUAAAUUAUGAAGCUCAAACCUCUGCCCCAUUAAACAGCAGAGAUUUGAAAUUAUCCAGAAGAAGGCAGUAUUGAAGAAAUUAAAAAAAUACAGAAAUCAACAAUAGCAAAAUAUA
rnacentral:lncRNA from 1 species